AUUGAACGCUGGCGGCAUGCUUUACACAUGCAAGUCGAACGGCAGCGCGGGCUUCGGCCUGGCGGCGAGUGGCGAACGGGUGAGUAAUACAUCGGAACGUGCCCAGUAGUGGGGGAUAGCUCGGCGAAAGCCGGAUUAAUACCGCAUACGACCUGAGGGUGAAAGCGGGGGAUCUUCGGGCCUCGCGCUAUUGGAGCGGCCGAUGGCAGAUUAGCUAGUUGGUGGGGUAAAGGCCUACCAAGGCGACGAUCUGUAGCUGGUCUGAGAGGACGACCAGCCACACUGGGACUGAGACACGGCCCAGACUCCUACGGGAGGCAGCAGUGGGGAAUUUUGGACAAUGGGCGAAAGCCUGAUCCAGCAAUGCCGCGUGUGUGAUGAAGGCCUUCGGGCUGUAAAGCACUUUUGGCGGGAACGAAAAGGACUGUGCCAAUACCACGGUUCGAUGACGGUACCCGCAGAAUAAGCACCGGCUAACUACGUG
rnacentral:rRNA from 1 species